rnacentral:rRNA from 1 species
GUAGGUGGCAAGCGUUGUCCGGAAUUAUUGGGCGUAUAGCGCGCGCAGGCGGUUCUUUAAGUCUGAUGUGAAAGCCCACGGCUCAACCGUGGAGGGUCAUUGGAAACUGGAGAACUUGAGUACAGAAGAGGAAAGCGGAAUUCCACGUGUAGCGGUGAAAUGCGUAGAGAUGUGGAGGAACACCAGUGGCGAAGGCGGCUUUCUGGUCUGUAACUGACGCUGAGGCGCGAAAGCGUGGGGAGCAAACAGGAUUAGAUACCCUGGUAGUCCACGCCGUAAACGAUGAGUGCUAAGUGUUAGGGGGUUUCCGCCCCCCUUAGUGCUGCAGCUAACGCAUUAAGCACUCCGCCUGGGAGUACGGCCGCAAGGCUG